GCCUUUUGUCUGUAAGUUAUGAAAGGUCGUACCUGCCCGGUGAUUGUGUAAGAAGCAAUUUAACGGCUGCGUAGUUGCACUAAGGUAGCAUAGUGGAUUGCCCUUUAAAUGGGGGAUGGAAUGAAAGGUUUGACAUGGGGAUGCUGUCUUUAGUUUAAUUGAUAGAAUUUUUUGUUUAAGUGAGAAAACUUAAGUUUUUGUAAAAGAAGAGAAGACCCUAUCGAACUUGAUUAGAGUUUUUCUGUUUAUUUCUAUUUGGUUGUAAAGUUUUCUUUUUAGGUUAAAGUUACUUGAAUUAGAAAAUAAAUCAAUUUAAAAAAGUGUUGAUUAAUUCGAAGUUUUAUUGGGGCAAUAGGAAGAAGUAAAAGAACUCUUCUCUUGAAUAAAGACCCUAUAUUAUAGUCUUAAGCAGAAGUUACCGUAGGGAUAACAGCGUUAACUUCCCUGCGAGGUCUUAUUAAAGGGAAGAAGUGCGACCUCGAUGUUGAAUUAGAGACGCUCCACGGUUGCAGAAGCUGUGAAAAGUGAAACUGUUCGUUUUUUAAUCCUCU
rnacentral:rRNA from 1 species